CACUUGAUGUUACGAAAAUUAGGAUGAGAUAUUACACUCUAGUAUUUUUACUUAUGUCAUAUAUUCUUAGUUGAAAGUUGACCCAUAGAGUUAGUCUUUUUUUAUGUAACAACUUAUUUAACCUAAGAUCAGUAAAGGAUUUAGUACAAAACUUGUCAUCCACAAGAGUCAACUGAAGAUGAAUACCACUAGAUUGUAUCUCCCAUCUAAAACUUAAAGGUUAAAAAUUAUGAAGUCAUAUUUGACUCUAAAUGUGGUGGUGCAAGUUAUUUUAUAUACAAUGCAUAUGAAAUCAAAUUUGACUUUUAACUUUUUAACUCUAGUAAAUUGGAAGGAGCCUAGUCAAAUUUAGAGACAAAUAUAAUUUUUGUAUCUUAUGUGGUGAGGAUCCCACAUUUAGAGCUAUAUCAAAUGUCAACUAUGACUUUGCACUUAAUUAUAUAUGAAUAUAACCUUGCAACUACAUCACAAUUGCGGUGAAGGGAACAACGAGGAUGCCUUUGCUAGCCUGCCAGGUUGCGCGAAUGAAUCCGUUUAGUGCAUAUCUGAGACGAUCUUCUCAGAUAUCAACGAUCCGAAUGGGAGAUGAUGAGCAACAUUAGAGUAAUCUAGCUAGACAUAAAGGCUAUGGGUAAGCCUGACCAUGAUAUGAGUAGGUUAUUUCUUAUCUAUUGUGUUUGAACCCAAUUGAAUGCUGAAUCACUUGCAGUGCCUGCCAUUGCAUUAUAUUGCAGAACUAUUUCUACAAACAAAUGCACUUACGACUGCACAAUUGCUGAAGAAACUUAAAAGUGCUUCUAGAUAGAAGCGUUUUCUAAAAAAGCACGUGCUAAGUGCUUCUCCAAAAAACAAUCCCAAGCCUUUUUCCUAGAAACACACUGAUUUUAGUAAAAACUUGUGUAUUUUUAAUAAAAGCACUUGCCAACAAAAGUGCUUACAAAAACAGUUUCAUAUCCCCGAUUUGGCUGGAAUAUGCUCCAUUGCAAUUUCCGGACAAGAGAAUUUUCUUGUUAAACUCAACAGAAGUCGAUCAUCAUUUCGCGUGAGACCAUUUGACGGGUUGUCUGUAGCUUCCUAGUGGUGAGACUUUUCUACCAAGCAUUUAACAUACAAGUUAAUAAUACAACCUCUACUUGUUUGGAAGUAUACAAGCAAACGGCCCACCAAUCAUAAAGACUUGUGGCAAAGACUUUGACUCUUCAAGUCCACUACCACUACCACUACCCUUUGUGUAUAUUAACGGUACUGUUGAUGAUUGAGAAUCUUUAAUUUAGACCACACGAGCAUUCAAAGUCUUUGAUCCGUGAGAGAGAGAGAGAGAGAGAGAGAGAGAGAGAGAGACUUAAAUGAAAACAAAUUCAGUGUAAUUGUGGCAUAAUUAUGUGGCGUAUGAUGCUGAAAUUCAGAUUAAACAAAUAAAAUUGUUUGUAGAAAAUAACAAAGCCAUGCAUAGGGAAUGUUGAAUAAAAUUUUAUAAUUUUUAUCAUAUUAUCUUUUGCUGGCGGCUGUUUGGUUUAUGUGUUUGGAAGGAGGCAAACCAUUUUUUUUUAAAGGAAAACUAACGAAAAGUUUAAAAAAAAUUUAGUUUUAAUGAAAAAUAACAAAUAAAAGUGUAGUGAAUAGUACCAGAAAAAGGUAAAAAUGUGGUUUUUCAUUAAAAGUGAACAGUACUGGGAGUGUUUCGUUAAAAGUCCUAUUUAUUUUAUUAUUAUUUUUUAUUUUUUAAAUUUAGAGCAUCUCUAGUGGAGUUCCUAAAUAGGGACAACCACCA
rnacentral:lncRNA from 1 species